AAGCUAUAUUUACAGGUCCGCUGGCUCCUGCCUGUGUCAUUGCUUCGGUAAUACCUGAUCCAAAAUGAGGAUCCCAAAUAGCAUGAGCUAUAGGACGAACAUGAGUUGGAUCAAGGACAAAUUGCUCAAAAUUACCUUGCCAAGCGAUAUGGAAAAGAUUACCGGCUACCCAAAGGGCAAUUAUUGCUAGAUGUCCGAAAUGUGUAGAAAAUAACUUUUGAUAAAGCUUUUCUUCAGUCAUACCAUCAUGACUUUCAAAGUCAUGAGCAGUAGCUAUUCCGUACCAUAUUCGGCGAGUUGUAGGGUCCUGAGCUAGACCCUGGUUAAAUGAUGGAAAUUUUGUUGCCAUUGUAUUAAAAAGGAGAAGUUCAG
rnacentral:antisense_RNA from 1 species